UACGUAGGGUGCGAGCGUUAAUCGGAAUUACUGGGCGUAAAGCGUGCGCAGGCGGUUUUUUAAGCCAGUCGUGAAAUCCCCGGGCUCAACCUGGGAACUGCGAUUGUGACUGCAAGGCUGGAGUGCGGCAGAGGGGGAUGGAAUUCCGCGUGUAGCAGUGAAAUGCGUAGAUAUGCGGAGGAACACCGAUGGCGAAGGCAGUCCCCUGGGCCUGCACUGACGCUCAUGCACGAAAGCGUGGGGAGCAAACAGG
rnacentral:rRNA from 1 species